rnacentral:rRNA from 1 species
AGCGUACAAGGUGGAUGCCUUGGCAAUCAGAGGCGAAGAAGGACGUGCUAAUCUGCGAAAAGUUUGGAUGAGUCGAUAAGAGGCGUUUAAUCCAAGAUAUCCGAAUGGGGAAACCCAGUAGAUGAAGAAUCUACUAUCACUUACUGAAUUCAUAGGUAAGUGAGGCAAACCGGGAGAACUGAAACAUCUAAGUACCCCGAGGAAAAGAAAUCAACCGAGAUUUCGUCAGUAGCGGCGAGCGAAAGCGAAAGAGCCUGUUAAUGAUAACAGCAGAGAUAGAGGAAUAAGCUGGGAAGCUUAGCGACACAGGGUGAUAGCCCCGUACUCGACAUCCAGGCUGUGGUACUAAGUUAACGAGAAGUAGGGCGGGACACGUGAUAUCCUGUUUGAAGAUGGGGGGACCAUCCUCUAAGGCUAAAUACUCCUGAUUGACCGAUAGUGAACCAGUACUGUGAAGGAAAGGCGAAAAGAACCCCGGUGAGGGGAGUGAAAUAGAACCUGAAACCUUGUACGUACAAGCAGUGGGAGCCUGAAAGGGUGACUGCGUACCUUUUGUAUAAUGGGUCAGCGACUUAUAUUUUGUAGCGAGGUUAACCGAAUAGGGGAGCCGAAGGGAAACCGAGUCUUAACUGGGCGAAUAGUUGCAAGGUAUAGACCCGAAACCCGGUGAUCUAGCCAUGGGCAGGUUGAAGGUUGGGUAACACUAACUGGAGGACCGAACCGACUAAUGUUGAAAAAUUAGCGGAUGACUUGUGGCUGGGGGUGAAAGGCCAAUCAAACCGGGAGAUAGCUGGUUCUCCCCGAAAUCUAUUUAGGUAGAGCCUUGAGCGGACACCUUUGGGGGUAGAGCACUGUUUCGGCUAGGGGUCCAUCCCGGAUUACCAACCCGAUGCAAACUACGAAUACCAAAGAGUGAUACUCAGGAGACACACGGCGGGUGCUAACGUCCGUCGUGGAGAGGGAAACAACCCAGACCGCCAGCUAAGGUCCCAAAGUCUAUAUUAAGUGGGAAACGAAGUGGGAAGGCUUAGACAGCUAGGAUGUUGGCUUAGAAGCAGCCAUCAUUUAAAGAAAGCGUAAUAGCUCACUAGUCGAGUCGGCCUGCGCGGAAGAUGUAACGGGGCUGAAAUAUAGCACCGAAGCUGCGGCAUCAAUGGAAACAUUGUUGGGUAGGGGAGCGUUGUGUAAGCGGAUGAAGGUUAAUCGAGAGGUUAGCUGGACGUAUCACAAGUGCGAAUGCUGACAUAAGUAACGAUAAAACGAGUGAAAAACUCGUUCGCCGGAAGACCAAGGGUUCCUGUCCAACGUUAAUCGGGGCAGGGUGAGUCGGCCCCUAAGGCGAGGCUGAAAAGCGUAGUCGAUGGGAAACAGGUUAAUAUUCCUGUACUUGGUAAAGCUGCGAUGUGGGGACGGAGUAGGUUAGGUUAGCGUGCUGUUGGAUAUGCACGUUUAAGUUGGUAGGUGGGAAGUUUAGGCAAAUCCGGACUUCCUUAACACUGAGAGAUGAUGACGAGGCUCUACGGAGCUGAAGUAACUGAUACCACACUUCCAGGAAAAGCCACUAAGCGACAAGCUUUACUAAACCGUACUGAAAACCGACACAGGUGGUCAGGUAGAGAAUACUCAGGCGCUUGAGAGAACUCGGGUGAAGGAACUAGGCAAAAUAGCACCGUAACUUCGGGAGAAGGUGCGCCGGCGUAGAUUGUAAGGGCUAGCCCCUGAAGGUUGAACCGGUCGAAGAUACCAGCUGGCUGCAACUGUUUAUUAAAAACACAGCACUCUGCAAACACGAAAGUGGACGUAUAGGGUGUGAUGCCUGCCCGGUGCUGGAAGGUUAAUUGAUGGUGUAAUCGAAAGAGAAGCUCCUGAUCGAAGCCCCAGUAAACGGCGGCCGUAACUAUAACGGUCCUAAGGUAGCGAAAUUCCUUGUCGGGUAAGUUCCGACCUGCACGAAUGGCAUAAUGAUGGCCAGGCUGUCUCCACCCGAGACUCAGUGAAAUUGAAAUCGCCGUGAAGAUGCGGUGUACCCGCGGCUAGACGGAAAGACCCCGUGAACCUUUACUAUAGCUUGACACUGAACAUUGAAUUUUGAUGUGUAGGAUAGGUGGGAGACUUAGAAGUAGUCACGCCAGUGAUUAUGGAGUCGACCUUGAAAUACCACCCUUUAACGUUUGAUGUUCUAACGAAGAUUACGAAACGUGGUCUCGGACAGUGUCUGGUGGGUAGUUUGACUGGGGCGGUCUCCUCCCAAAGCGUAACGGAGGAGCACGAAGGUUUGCUAAUCACGGUCGGACAUCGUGAGGUUAGUGCAAUGGUAUAAGCAAGCUUAACUGCGAGACAGACAAGUCGAGCAGGUACGAAAGUAGGUCAUAGUGAUCCGGUGGUUCUGAAUGGAAGGGCCAUCGCUCAACGGAUAAAAGGUACUCCGGGGAUAACAGGCUGAUACCGCCCAAGAGUUCAUAUCGACGGCGGUGUUUGGCACCUCGAUGUCGGCUCAUCACAUCCUGGGGCUGAAGUAGGUCCCAAGGGUAUGGCUGUUCGCCAUUUAAAGUGGUACGCGAGCUGGGUUUAGAACGUCGUGAGACAGUUCGGUCCCUAUCUGCCGUGGGCGUUGGAGAAUUGGUUGGGGCUGCUCCUAGUACGAGAGGACCGGAGUGGACGCACCACUGGUGUUCCGGUUGUGUCGCCAGACGCAUUGCCGGGUAGCUAAGUGCGGAAGAGAUAAGUGCUGAAAGCAUCUAAGCACGAAACUUGCCAAGAGAUGAGUUCUCCCACACAUCAAGUGUGUAAGGGUUGU